rnacentral:rRNA from 1 species
UACGGAGGGUGCGAGCGUUGUUCGGAAUCGCUGGGCGUAAAGGGCGUGUAGGCGGUCCGCUAAGUCUGAUGUGAAAGCCCGGGGCUCACCCCCGGAAGUGCAUUGGAAACUGGCGGACUCGAGUCCCGGAGAGGAGAGUGGAAUUCCUGGUGUAGCGGUGAAAUGCGUAGAUAUCAGGAGGAACACCGGUGGCGAAGGCGGCUCUCUGGACGGUGACUGACGCUGAGACGCGAAAGCGUGGGGAGCAAACAGG